AAUAAUAAAAAGGCAUUUUGAGAUCUGGGUAUUUUCCGUGCUACCGAAUUCUAUCUGGCAGUUCAUUGUGGUGCAUAGCUGAAAUCCUGGAAGGCUGAGGCAGGAAGAUCAUGAGUUCAAGACUGCCCUGGACUAUAUAGUGAGUUUCAGGCAAAACUGUAUGUGCACGCACACACACACACACACACACACACACACAAACAUACACCUUCCUCUGAGAUCACACACAGAGUCCUGCAUCUGCUCCUCUGGCUAGAUGCCAGGUUUGUUCUCUUCCUGGAUGAAGACAAAGAUUGCAACUGCAGUAUCUUCCUGCUCACCAACACCUGCCGCUGAGACUCUGCGGUGAGACACCGGAGACAUACUGUCAGGGUACUUAUCCUGUUGCACCUUGGGACAAGCAGAGAUAGAGGCAUGGAGUAGCUGGGGAAAGGAAGAAAGAGGACUUUGAUUUUAUACAUGUGAUUGUGAUAUUUCCAGUUAGGAAAAAUAAAAACAAGCAUCUAGAAUAAUCUGAGUACCAGGUGUGUGCUGUAAAAAUCGGAAGAAAUGUGUCAGAAAUGCAGAACUGAGCUGGCAUGUGCCUGAAGGGUGACACUCCUGGCUUCCCCAGCUGGCUCUCAGGGACACUAAAGCUCCUCACUCAGCAAUUACAUCUGCUGGAGUCACACCCAAGCCUGGAGCACCCUCCCGCCUUUGGGGGAGGGGGCAAAAUGCUGCUGAGCACCAAUGAAAUCCUCAAGGAGAUUACAAAUAAUAAGGCAGAUGCACA